CGAAUUGUAGUUUAAAAAUGUAAACUUUGGAAGUUUAAGUUAU
rnacentral:tRNA from 1 species